rnacentral:rRNA from 1 species
AGCGAACGCUGGCGGCAGGCCUAACACAUGCAAGUCGAACGAACUCUUCGGAGUUAGUGGCGGACGGGUGAGUAACACGUGGGAACGUGCCUUUUGGUUCGGAAUAACUCAGGGAAACUUGUGCUAAUACCGAAUGUGCCCUUCGGGGGAAAGAUUUAUCGCCAUUAGAGCGGCCCGCGUCUGAUUAGCUAGUUGGUGAGGUAACGGCUCACCAAGGCGACGAUCAGUAGCUGGUCGGAGAGGAUGACCAGCCACACUGGGACUGAGACACGGCCCAGACUCGUACGGGAGGCAGCAGUGGGGAGUCUUGCGCAAUGGGCGAAAGCCUGACGAAGCCAUGCCGCGUGAAUGAUGAAGGUCUUAGGAUUGUAAAAUUCUUUCACCGGGGACGAUAAUGACGGUACCCGGAGAAGAAGCCCCGGCUAACUUCGUG